rnacentral:lncRNA from 12 species
AGAGUCCUCCAGAGAGGGUGGUACACCCUGGGCUCCCUAUUCUAAACUGGUAUCCUGAACUAGACAGGAGGAACAGCUCACAGAAGUCACCAGAAUGCACAGGAAAACCCACAUGGGCUUUGCUGCCAGUGCAGCAGGUGCUGCAGGCUGCACUCUAAGGAAAAGCCUAAAACAAAGUGAUGAAGUAAGAGGAUAAAUCACCGUCAGGAAGA